UCAAGGUGCAGUAUAAAAAAGAAAAUUAUGGGUUACACUAAAAAUUAUGAAUGAAUUUAAUUAAGGUUUACUUAAAAUGAAAAAGGAUUUAAUAGUAAAUUUAUUAAAGUAAUAUAAUGAAUAUAGAUUUUAAAAUAUGUACACAUUGCCCGUCGCUCUUAUUUAAAAUAAGAUAAGUCGUAACAUAGUAGAUGUACCGGAAGGUGUAUCUAGAAUUAGGUAAAUAGCUUAAAUUUAAAGUUUAUUAUUUACAUUAAUAGGAUAUCUAUGAUUUUACUUUGUGUAUAAAUUUUAAUUUAUUUUUUAACUGUGAAGGUGGGGGCUUUUAUAGUUAAAAUAGUAUAUUAAAAAUUGUACCUUUNNNNNNNNUUAAUUAAAAUUUCUUUUAUAUAAAUGUUUCUUGAAAAAAAAAGAUUUAAAGUUAAAAAUAUCUUAAUGUAUCAAAAUUAAUUAUAAUUUAACUUUAGGACUGAUAAGGUAAUMMAUUUUUUAUAUCCAGUUACUUUUUAAUUAAUUUAAUUAAUAUAUCUACUAGGGGGCUAGGUUUAUAUAAAUUAAUUUAGGGAUAAUCUUGAAUUAUAAUUAAUAGUGUUAAAUUAAUUUUAAAUAUUUGGAUUAAGAAUGUUCUUUAAUUGUCUGUUAUAAUUAAUUAUUAUAGUAAAUAAUUUUUUAUUUUUAACUUUAAGGAGGGGUAAAGUUAUUUAAUUUAUUAAAUUGUUUAAAAUAAUAAUGAUUAAAUUAGUAGAUUUUUUAAUUAAAAAAUAAGAAUUUGGCAAAUUUUUACUUCGUCUGUUUAUCAAAAACAUUUCUGUUAGUUAAAAAUAUUUUUUGUAUAACCUGCUCAAU
rnacentral:rRNA from 1 species